AAGUCGUACGAGAGUAGACAGCGCUGCUUAGGACGCUGACGAGUGGCGAACGGGUGAAGUAAUACAUCGGAACGUGCCCAGUCGUGGGGGAUAACUCAGCAUAAGAGUAGCUAAUACCGCAUACGAUCUGAGGAUGAAAGCGGGGGACCUUCGGGCCUCGCGCGAUUGGAGCGGCCGAUGGCAGAUUAGGUAGUUGGUGGGAUAAAAGUCAUCCAAGCCGACGAUCUGUAGCUGGUCUGAGAGGACGACCAGCCACACUGGGGAACGUACACGGCCCAGACUCCUACGGGAGGCAGCAGUGGGGAAUUUUGGACAAUGGGCGAAAGCCUGAUCCAGCAAUGCCGCCGAGUGAUGAAGGCCUUCGGGUUGUAAACUGCUUUUGUACGGAACGAAAAAGCUCCUUCUAAUACAGGGGGCCCAUGACGGUACCGUAAGAAUAAGCACCGGCUAACUACGUGCCAGCAGCCGCGGUAAUACGUAGGGGUCGAGCGUUAAUCGGAAUUACUGGGCGUAAAGCGUGCGCAGGCGGUUAUGUAAGACAGAUGUGAAAUCCCCGGGCUCAACCUGGGAACUUGUCGAUUGACUGCAUGGCUAGAGUACGGUAGAGGGGGAUGGUACACUGCGUGUAGCAGUGAAAUGCGUAGAUAUGCGGGAGGAACACCGAUGGCGAAGGCAAUCCCCUGGGACCUGUACUGACGCUCAUGCACGAAAGCGUGGGGGAGCAAACAGGAUUAGAUACCCUGGUAGUCCACGCCCUAACGAUGUCAACUGUGUUGUUGGGAAUUAGUUUUCUCAGUAACGAAGCUAACGCGUAAGUUGACCGCCUGGGGAGUACGGCCGCAAGGUUGAAACUCAAAGGUGAAUCGGGGACCCGCACAAGCGGUGGAUGAUGGUGUUUAAUUCGAUGCAACGCGAAAAACUCAUCCCACCUUUGACAUGGCAGGAAGUUUCCAGAGAUGGAUUCGUGCUCGAAAGAGAACCUGCACACAGGUGCUGCAUGGCUGUCGUCAGCUCGUGUCGUGAGAUGUUGGGUUAAGUCCCGCAACGAGCGCAACCCUUGUCAUUAGUUGCUACAUUCAGUUGAGCACUCUAAUGAGACUGCCGGUGACAAACCGGAGGAAGGUGGGGAUGACGUCAAGUCCUCAUGGCCCUUAUAGGUGGGGCUACACACGUCAUACAAUGGCUGGUACAGAGGGUUGCCAACCCGCGAGGGGGAGCUAAUCCCAUAAAACCAGUCGUAGUCCGGACUGCAGUCUGCAACUCGACUGCGUGAAGUCGGCAGACUUAGUAAUCGCGGAUCAGCAUGCCGCGGUGAAUACGCUCUCGGGUCUUGUACACACCGCCCGUCACACCAUGGGAGCGGGUCUCGCCAGAAGUAGGUAGCACUAUACCUGCA
rnacentral:rRNA from 1 species